AACCAAAAUGAUAUCCAUAUUUGUAAUAGGAAUAGUAGGAUAUUUUUCAAAUACUAUGUAAAAAUAUCAAAACGUAACAGUGAAAGAAACGGUUUGCGCCUCACAGGAUCGGCUGUGUCUUCAAAUACGGGCAACCCAAAGUGGAACGGUCAGAGUGUCUCUUGAUGAGCUACAGCCGGUGAAACCACGCUACCAUGUUUCAGAUGUACUGCUUGGAGAGUUGAGAUAUGAGCCGCUGAGAGUUAAUUGGAAGAGAGAGGACUGUGUAUGUCUAACUUGGGGUCUGGGACAGUACAAGCUGCUGGUUUCCUUUUCUCCUUUCAAACUCGAGAUUUCCUGUGAUGGAGAGGAGAUUGUCACUCUCAACCCACAAAACAAACUCUACUUUGAGACUCUGCACGAUCCAACUAGGUCAUCUUCAGAUUCAUGCCAGGACGAUGAAAAUCGAUGUGGGCUGUGGAAGGAAACAUUUAGACAGUUUGAGGACAUCAAAGCAAAUGGU